UGGGGAAUAUUGCACAAUGGGGGAAACCCUGAUGCAGCGACGCCGCGUGAGCGAAGAAGGUAUUCGAAUCGUAAAGCUCUGUCCUAUGGGAAGAUAAUGACGGUACCAUAGGAGGAAGCCCCGGCUAACUACGUGCCAGCAGCCGCGGUAAUACGCAGGGCGCUAGCGUUGUCCGGAAUCACUGGGCGUAAAGGGUUCGCAGGCCGAAAUGAAAGUCAGUUGUGAAAGGCAGAGGCUCAACCUCUGUAAGCAAUUGAAACUGUAUUUCUUGAGAUGUGGAGAGGCAAGUGGAAUGCAUACUGUAGCGGUGAAAUGCGUAAAUAUUAGGAAGAAUACCGGUGGCGAAGGCGACUUGCUGGACACAAACUGACGCUGAGGAACGAAAGCGUGGGUAGCAAACAGG
rnacentral:rRNA from 1 species